ACUCCUACGGGAGGCAGCAGUGGGGAAUCUUGCACAAUGGGGGAAACCCUGACGCAGCAACGCCGCGUGAGGGAUGAAGUCCUUCGGGAUGUAAACCUCUUCGACCGGUGACGAUUAUGACGUACCG
rnacentral:rRNA from 1 species